rnacentral:rRNA from 2 species
UUACCGGUGACAAUAGCGUAGAGGCCACACCCGUUCCCAUCUCGAACACGGAAGUUAAGCUCUAUAGCGCCGAUGGUACUACACGGGAGACUAGUGUGGGAGAGUAGGACAUUGCCGGUAUU